rnacentral:rRNA from 1 species
ACGCUCGACACCUACGGGGGCAGCAGUGGGGAAUAUUGCACAAUGGGGGAAACCCGUGAUGCAGCGACGCCGCGUGAGCGAAGAAGUAUUUCGGUAUGUAAAGCUCUAUCAGCAGGGAAGAAACUGACGGUACCUGACUAAGAAGCACCGGCUAAAUACGUGCCAGCAGCUGCGGUAAUCUGAGCGGGCUGGCAAGGC